GUCACAAGUGUGAAGUUUAGGACUUCAGUGCAAACUCAAUUUGUCCGCAUAUGAUGCCAUUACAGCUGUUUUAGUGAAUGAAUUAAUAUCAGAUUAUGAUAUUGAUUUACUUUGUCUUACUGAGACCUGGCUGUGCCACGAGGAGUAUGUUAGCCUAAAUGAAUCCACCCCCCCCCAGUCAUAUUAAUACUCACAUUCCUCGAGGCACUGGCCGAGGAGGUGGAGUAGCAGCCAUAUAUGAUUCGAGCGUUUUAAUGGACCCUAAACCUAAACUAAAUUAUAAUUCAUUUGAAAGCCUUGUUCUUAGUCUUUCUCACCCAAACUGGAAAACACUGCAGCCAGUUCUAUUUGUUAUAGUGUACCGCGCUCCUGGACCAUACUCUGAUUUUAUAUCUGAAUUCUCAGAGUUUUUAUCAAGUUUAGUCCUUAAAUCAGAUAAAGUAAUUAUUGUAGGUGAUUUUAAUAUUCAUGUGGAUGUUGACAAUGACAGCCUUAGUAAUGCAUUUAUAUCAUUAAUAGACUCAAUUGGCUUCUUUCAGAGUGUAAAUAAACCAACUCAUUGUUUUAAUCACACUCUUGACCUUGUUCUAUCAUAUGGCAUUGAUAUUGAACAUUUAAUAGUCUUCCCACAUAAUCCUUUCCUAUCUGACCAUUAUUUAAUAACUUUUGAAUUCAUACUAUUAGAUUAUAAGCCAUUAGGCAAAACUUCCUACAGCAGAUGUCUAUCUGACAGUGCUGUAGCUAAAUUUAAGGAGGAGAUUCCUUCAGUGUUUAAUUCAAUGCCAUGUCUGAAUUUAACAGAGUCCUAUAACAACUUUAGUCCCUCUGAAAUUGAUAAUCUUGUCGAUAGUGCUACAGGCUCACUACGAAGAACAUUAGAUUCUAUCGCUCCUAUAAAAAGGAAAUUAUUAAAACAUAGGAGAAUAGCACCGUGGUACAACCACCAAACCCGCCAGUUAAAACAAAUAGCUAGGAAAUCUGAAAGGAAAUGGCGCUCUUCCAAAUUAUCAGAAUAUCGCUCAAUUUGGCAAGAUAAUCUUAAAACCUAUAGAAAGGCCCUCCGUAACACCAGAGGAACCUAUUACUCAGCACUAAUAGAAGAAAAUAAGAAUAACCCUAGGUUCCUCUUCAGCACUGUAGCCAGGCUGACAGAGAGUCACAGCUCUAUUGAGCCACAUAUCCCCAUAAACUUAAGUAGCAAUGACUUCAUGAGCUUCUUUUAUGAUAAAAUGAUUACUAUUAGAGACAAAAUUAAUAACCAAAUGCCCGCAACAGGUAUCACUGUCUCUCCAAGUUCAGGGACUUUAACUAAUGUAAACUCAGAUAUAUAUUUAGACUGUUUUUCUGCUAUCGAUCUUCAUCAGUUAACUUCAAUCAUUUCUUCAUCGAAGCCAUCAACCUGUCUAUUAGACCCGAUCCCAACUAGGCUGCUUAAAGAAGUCGUACCCUUAAUUGGCACUUCUUUACUGGAUAUGAUCAAUCUUUCUUUAUUAUCAGGAUAUGUACCACAGUUCUUUAAAGUAGCUGUAAUUAAACCCCUUCUUAAAAAGCCCACUCUUGACCCAAGGGUUUUAGCCAAUUAUAG
rnacentral:lncRNA from 15 species